GGGGGAUAUUGCACAAUGGAGGAAACUCUGAUGCAGCAAUGCCGCGUGAGGGAAGACGGUCUUCGGAUUGUAAACCUCUGUCCUUGGUGAAGAUAAUGACGGUAGCCAAGGAGGAAGCUCCGGCUAACUACGUGCCAGCAGCCGCGGUAAUACGUAGGGAGCAAGCGUUGUCCGGAUUUACUGGGUGUAAAGGGUGCGUAGGCGGCUUUUUAAGUCGGGCGUGAAAGCUGUGGGCUUAACCCACAAAUUGCGUUCGAAACUGGAAGGCUUGAGUGAAGUAGAGGUAGGCGGAAUUCCCGGUGUAGCGGUGAAAUGCGUAGAGAUCGGGAGGAACACCAGUGGCGAAGGCGGCCUACUGGGCUUUAACUGACGCUGAGGCACGAAAGCAUGGGUAGCAAAC
rnacentral:rRNA from 1 species